GGGCCUAAGUCCUCACCAUGGUGAAGUUGCUGCCUGCCCAGGAGGCAGCCAAGAUCUACCAUACCAACUAUGUGCGAAACUCCAGGGCUGUGGGUGUGAUGUGGGGCACACUCACCAUCUGCUUCUCUGUACUGGUCAUGGCCCUCUUCAUCCAGCCCUACUGGAUCGGUGACAGUGUUAACACACCCCAGGCAGGCUACUUUGGCCUUUUCUCCUACUGUGUGGGCAACGUGCUGUCCUCUGAACUCAUCUGCAAGGGUGGCCCGCUGGACUUCUCCUCCAUUCCCUCUAGAGCCUUCAAGACCGCCAUGUUUUUUGUGGCAUUGGCCAUGUUCCUCAUCAUUGGCUCCAUCAUCUGCUUUAGCCUCUUCUUUGUCUGCAACACGGCCACUGUCUACAAGAUCUGCGCAUGGAUGCAGCUGGCUGCAGCCACAGGCCUGAUGAUUGGCUGCCUGGUCUACCCCGACGGUUGGGACUCAAGUGAGGUGCGGCGCAUGUGUGGGGAGCAGACAGGCAAGUACACACUGGGCCAGUGCACCAUCCGCUGGGCCUUCAUGCUGGCCAUCCUCAGCAUUGGAGACGCCCUCAUCCUCUCCUUCCUGGCCUUUGUGCUGGGCUACCGGCAGGACAAGCUCCUCCCUGAUGACUACAAGGCAGAUGGAAAAGAGGAAGUCUGAAGCAGCUGAAGUUUGGUGAGUAACCACAUUGUUGGGUGGUCUGUGUGCCUUUGGAAGGGCUGUGGGCUCCCUGUUUCCUUGUUGACUCAGCAGGGUGCAUGGCUGGUGUGGGCUGCGGUGGGGCCUGGGAGAGGAGGAAGGACUCUGGCAGGAGUUAGCUGGCAUUUGAGACCCUCUAGUUCUCCUUCUGUCUUGAGAAGUAGACAGAGAACAGGAAGAAAUAUUUAAAAUAGGAGGUGGUUUCAUAAACUCAUCCUUUUCUGGAUCCUGGCAAACAAGAACAGACUGU